UACGUAGGGUGCAGGCGUUAAUCGGAAUUACUGGGCGUAAAGCGUGCGUAGGCGGUUUGUUAAGACAGGUGUGAAAUCCCCGGGCUUAACCUGGGAACUGCGCUUGUUACUGGCAGACUGGAGUGUGGCAGAGGGGGGUGGAAUUCCAGGUGUAGCAGUGAAAUGCGUAGAUAUCUGGAGGAACACCGAUGGCGAAGGCAGCCCCCUGGGCUAACACUGACGCUCAGGCACGAAAGCGUGGGGAGCAAACAGG
rnacentral:rRNA from 1 species